GAAGACCGGAGAGAUUAAGCAGCAGAAAUGUAAUCCCUCAAGGCCACGGGGAAUGGAGUUAGGGCUGGGAAAGAAACAAGGAAGCAAGGGAUCUGCACUGGAACCCUUCUGUUUGCGGGACAAAUAUAUAUAAGUGACAUGGAUUAAAAUCUAAUUUGGAGCAGCAGCGGCAGCAGGAAACAAGACAGCUCACCCUUACCAUUCUUGGAGAAAAGCAGAACCUCUGGCCACACAAAAGGGAAAUAGCUCUACUGAGGAGGUGCUUCAAAC